AGGAAUAUUGGACAAUGGAGGCAACUCUGAUCCAGCCAUGCCGCGUGAAGGAAUAAGGCCCUAUGGGUUGUAAACUUCUUUUAGACGGGACAAAACCCCUUUACGUGUAAAGGGUUGAUGGUACUGUCAGAAUAAGCAUCGGCUAACUUCGUGCCAGCAGCCGCGGUAAUACGAAGGAUGCAAGCGUUAUCCGGAAUUAUUGGGUUUAAAGGGUGCGUAGGCGGACUAAUAAGUCAGUGGUGAAAGCCUGCAGCUUAACUGCAGAAUUGCCAUUGAUACUGUUAGUCUUGAGUACAGUUGAGGUAGGCGGAAUGUGUCAUGUAGCGGUGAAAUGCUUAGAUAUGACAUAGAACACCAAUUGCGAAGGCAGCUUACUACAUAUAAAUUGACGCUGAGGCACGAAAGCGUGGGGAGCAAACA
rnacentral:rRNA from 1 species